rnacentral:rRNA from 1 species
UACGGAGGGUGCGAGCGUUGUCCGGAAUCACUGGGCGUAAAGGGCGCGUAGGCGGCGCGGAAAGUCGUCGGUGAAAGCUCGGGGCUCAACCCUGAGUCUGCCGGUGAUACUCCCGCGCUCGAGCUCACUAGAGGCAGAUGGAAUUCCGGGUGUAGCGGUGGAAUGCGUAGAGAUCCGGAAGAACACCGGUGGCGAAGGCGGGUCUCUGGGCCGAAACUGACGCUGAGGAGCGAAAGCGUGGGGAGCAAACAGG